CAGCAGUAGCCACGGGAAAACGAGGGGUGCAAGCGUUAUUCGGAUUGAUUGGGUGUAAAGGGUGUGCAGACGGCUUAUUAAGUCACUUGUCAAAUUCUUCGGCCUAACUGAAGAUCUGCAAGUGAUACUGAUGAGCUAGAGGGUGGAAGAGAGAAGUGGAAUUCUCGGAGUAGCGGUAAAAUGCGUAGAUCUCGAGAGGAACACCAAUGGCGAAGGCAGCUUCUUGGUCCAUUCCUGACGUUCAUACACGAAAGCGUGGGGAGCAAACAGGAUUAGAUACCCCUGUAGUCCCUGUCUCUUAUAC
rnacentral:rRNA from 1 species